AGAAGGACCCCAGCCUGGAGAUCCGCUACCGGCACAAGAAGAGCCGUGAGAAGGAACACGAGGGCUGCAAGGGGCCGGACAUGGAGCCGGGCCGCGCCGCCAAGGUCAGCGCCACCCUACUGCCACCCUACUGCCACCCUACUGCCACCCCGUGCCACCCUGUGUCACCCUAUGCCACCCCAUGUCAUCCUAUGGCACCCCCAUGCCACCCCAUGCCACCCUGUGUGACCCUGUGUCACCCCCAUGCCAUCCCCACGCCACCCAAUGUCACCCCAUGCCACCCCAUG
rnacentral:lncRNA from 1 species